rnacentral:miRNA from 1 species
UUUAGAAUUUGUACGCUUUGUU